AGGCCCUGUGCUGUUCCCAGCAGAUGCUGGAAUUGCCUCUGUGGAUGUGAGCUGCAGAGAACUGCCAGGCCUCAGUGGCUGUGAGUUCGUGUUCUCACUGGGAAACUGGA
rnacentral:lncRNA from 1 species